rnacentral:rRNA from 1 species
GAUGAACGCUAGCUACAGGCUUAACACAUGCAAGUCGAGGGGAAACGGCAUUGAGUGCUUGCACUCUUUGGACGUCGACCGGCGCACGGGUGAGUAACGCGUAUCCAACCUUCCCAUUACUGUGGGAUAACCUGCCGAAAGGCAGACUAAUACCACAUAGUCUUCGAUGACGGCAUCAGAUUUGGAGUAAAGAUUUAUCGGUAAUGGAUGGGGAUGCGUCUGAUUAGCUUGUUGGCGGGGUAACGGCCCACCAAGGCGACGAUCAGUAGGGGUUCUGAGAGGAAGGUCCCCCACAUUGGAACUGAGACACGGUCCAAACUCCUACGGGAGGCAGCAGUGAGGAAUAUUGGUCAAUGGACGGAAGUCUGAACCAGCCAAGUAGCGUGCAGGAUGACGGCCCUAUGGGUUGUAAACUGCUUUUGUAUGGGGAUAAAGUUAGGGACGUGUCCCUAUUUGCAGGUACCAUACGAAUAAGGACCGGCUAAUUCCGUGCCAGCAGCCGCGGUAAUACGGAAGGUCCAGGCGUUAUCCGGAUUUAUUGGGUUUAAAGGGAGCGUAGGCUGGAGAUUAAGUGUGUUGUGAAAUGUAGACGCUCAACGUCUGACUUGCAGCGCAUACUGGUUUCCUUGAGCACGCACAACGUUGGCGGAAUUCGUCGUGUAGCGGUGAAAUGCUUAGAUAUGACGAAGAACUCCGAUUGCGAAGGCAGCUGACGGGAGCGCAACUGACGCUGAAGCUCGAAGGUGCGGGUAUCAAACAGG